rnacentral:misc_RNA from 1 species
GUGUCUACUCCAGUGAUGUUUCAGAUGCCGGAACAGGACAACGUGACUGGGGAGAAUAUGGGUGACGGGUCGGGUGAGCCCAGGUCGGACUUGCAGGAGCUGCAGUUCAAGUCCAACCAGGUGACAGAUGAAACCCUCGAGUCCACCCGGCGGAUGCUCUCCCUCUGUGAGGAGAGUCAAGAUGCAGGAGCAAAAACACUGUACAUGCUAAACGACCAAGGGGAACAAUUGGACCGGAUCGAGGAAGGGAUGGACCAGAUCAAUGCCGACAUGAAGGAAGCCGAGAAGAACUUGACUGGGAUGGAGAAAUGCUGUGGAUUGUGUGUCCUCCCCUGCAACAAAACAUCCUCACAGUUUAAGGAGGAUGAAUCCACCUGGAAGGGCAAGGAGGAUGGUGUGGUGAGCUCCCAGCCCCAGCGAGUCAUGGACGACCGUAAUGGCUUGGGACCUUCUGGAGGCUACAUUGGACGAAUCACCAAUGAUGCUCGUGAGGAUGAGAUGGAAGAGAACAUGGGCCAGGUGAACACCAUGAUUGGCAACCUUCGCAACAUGGCCAUUGACAUGGGAUCAGAGAUUGAGAACCAGAACAGACAGAUAGGCAGAAUCACCCGGAAGGCGGAGUCGAAUGUCACCCACGUGCAGGAGGCGAACGAAAAGGCUGGAAAACUGCUCAAGUCUUAGACAGCCACCUUCUUGCCUGCCUUCAUGCCAGUGUUUAAUCCAAUUUUUGCAUAGUGCUGAUUCUAACACCACGAGAGUUAACAUGGCCAACGAGAGAGCUGGCUCACUGCUGAAGAACGCAUAAGCGAGGGGUGGGGUUGCCCUACCUCCCCCUCUCCCCUCCACCCCCCACCCCUGCCACAUCUCAUCCAGAGCCAGCACACCACCAGCUGGAUGAGCACAGAUUCACCACCGGAGUGCCGCAUCGGGUGACAGGCAUUGUAGAAAAUGGUGCCGAGAUGCUAUUAUAUCUUGGUCAUCAGUAGCUUAACUAUUUGUUUUCUCUGAGGGUGUGCUAUGGCUACCGACCCCAGAGCUCCCGUGCCGGUGUCUCUCAGUAUUGGGAUCAAUCCAGAAUUUUUUAGUGCCUCCUGAAGGCGUUGUGAUAGCAGGAGAGAGCACGGCGGGGGCGGUGGGGCGGGACAGCCAGCCUGAGGGAUGAGUCUGGGCCUCACGUGGCCCAGGCCCAUUUGCCGGGGUAUGCACUGCCCACACCUGCCAUGCCAGGAGCAGGCUGCCUCUCCUGGGUGUCAGGUGUGGGGCCGAGAUGACCAAGCAGAGCCGUGGAGGUGAUGAGCCCCCCCUCCUCCCCGACUGGAGGCUGGCUCCCAGAGGGGGGGGAUAAUGGGCACUGUUAUACACUUGUCCUUGUCUAGAGUCUUGAAAAUCGUUUUUGUUAUUGUUGAAAAUGAAAUUUGUUAAUUUUGUAGAUAUAGGCUACAUCAUGCAAGCAUAAUAUGGAAGCAUUUCAUCCUCUGGUCAUGAUUUUGUGUGGAAUCGUUUAUGGCCUACUUCCUCCUCAAGAGUCAUUCAUUCAUAACCCUUAGCACACCAGCAUGUAAAUGCUAUUUAUUAUGAAUAUCUGAAUAUGGAUUCUUGAUAUAUUAACCCCGGACAUUAUGGUGAUAUUUUCGUACUUGUGUUUGAUCAUUCCCCAUUCCCAAGGCUCUCUCCUCUCUUGUCUUGUUUUGUCCCAGCAUUGUCCCAGCAUGACCAUUGUUCCCUCUUGUCAACAGUGUUGUCAUAAGUCUUAACAGUAAUAUUGGUGUCUGGAUGAGAUGAGAACAAAUCUGGCCACUUCCUUAUGACAACACUGUUAUUGUAAUGGUUUGUCUAGUGGCUUCUUAUGAGAAUGUGGGAGGUAGCAGUGAGUGGUGCCAGCUUCCCAUCACUCCCUUUCUUCCUCCUUGCCCCUUCCUUCCUACUCCCUUCAUAUUUUCCCCCAUCAUCUUUUUCCACCAGGCACAUAUUAUUCCUUGACACCAUAACUGCUGCACAUAGGUAAUUACACUUAAUUCUCAGCUCCAUAAAGAGUAUUCAUUAUUUAUAUUUCUCAUAUGUUUGUUUCUCACUGAUUGUCUGAUGAUAGAAACAGUGGUCAAGAAUUUUUCCAAAUCAGAGACUCUGUGUGUGAGGACUUUGGUAAUUGGACAAAAUUGUCAUUUAUUAGCAACACAACUUGACAUAUUGUAACAAAGCAAUUGGCACACAGCUUUCAUUGACGAGCUGACCAAUAGACACUCAUCUUCCUUACAUGUUAUAUGAACCUUGAUGUAAGAUGGUGUUGAUCUGAUAUUACCAUCUUACUUGGCUAUUGUUUAUUAUCAGUGCUAUUUAUUGAUCUUAUCUCAGAUGAUUCACCAGCUAGUUAAUAGUCAUUAUUUAUUUAUUUAUUUUUAGACAGUCUAAGAUAUAACAGAGUAUGCUACAUAUAACUCAAAAUCUGAGAUUGGUUUUGUUGUAUAAUCAUAAUGCAGAGUUGUUAAUUUGGUGUAAGGAAAUUAAUGUUCUUCUGGAUUAUUAUAGUCUUCAGAUACUUUUUUUCCCACACUCCCAGGCUUUUACCAAACACUCAAGGAGGUUAUUCAGUGAAGUAAAUUUUCCCUCAUUAAAACUACAGUCUCCUUUAAAUUUUCCCCAUUUUGCUAGCAUCUGUAUCCAAUGAAGGAGAAGUUGAUAUGUUAUUGACUGAAAUAAUAGGUGCACCACUUUAGAAUGGUAGAAUUAAGUAUGCUUAGUUGUUUGACAUUAAGAAUACCCUCCUUGUUCAGGAACUUUGAAGCAUUAUUUUCAUGUUGAGAAAGCAUUUUUACUCUGUAAUGCAUAUUCCAUAGUGUAUUUCUUUUAUAGUGAUAUCAUACUUUAGUAAACAUGUGAAAAUAAUUGUUUCUCACUUUCUUGGUAAGAAACUUAUUGAUACAUGUUUCUAAGUGUUAUUGUAGGAGACAUGGUUCUGUUGUACUGUUCCACACCUGCAGCCAUUGACACUGGUAUUGUUGUGUCUGGGAGCACCAUUUGUUCUCUUUUUAUAUUCCAGUUCCAGUUUUAGAUGAAGGGAUAUUUUUUUGGAGUGCAGUGGUAGUAUGUCUGAAUGCAGUAAGGAUGGGCAUUUAACUGUGUCUGUAGUUGGUUGGUGGUGUGAGAAAACCACAUCCCAGGCUGCUGGAGGGAAACAUGACUGACAGCCUUACAGAAAUGACUACCAGCACAUUGGUGCCACACAAUGUUGGCCCACCACUCUUGGUCCACCCCAGCAGGCAAGGUUGUAGCUUUCUCAUAGUCAUCAUUUGUGGCAGCAACAGUGUCAAGGAUGUCAUGUGUCAUCCUCACAGUUCAAAGGCCUUCCUGAAUUCUUGGUACAAAAUUUUCUUCCCACCUACCCUUCCCCAUCACAGCAGAUUACCUUAGAGGGGACUAAAUUUUGCUGUUUUCAACCCACGUCAUCACUCCGUGUUCCCUGAAGACUGGCAACUCACCCACAGAACUCUGCUUCACUCAGUCUCGUUCCCUUGUGCCCCACCAUGCAUGUUGGCUCCCCUCAAGUUACCUAACUCAGCACUGCUACUGAGGAGUGUAUUAUCAGUAUUAGCUGCCACAACCCUUCUCAUGGAGUUUCCCUGCUACUUUGCAUACUGGCAUAGGUUUUAUAUACUGUCUGGUGUGUUUUUUCUCUAUCAUUAAACGUGGUUGAAAGCUGUGAUAUUCCUUGGUUUGAUCAUGCAGAUCUGUUGAAAAAUCAUAAUAAAGUUGUAAUGUGUAUAUAUAUAUUGCCUACAUAAUAUAUAUAUACAUAUACAUAUAUAUAUUCACAUGUUAGGCCAUAUCAAAACUUUACUGACAGUGGUACAUAAAAGUAAGAUUUUUAGGUAGACAGUAGAAUUUUUGCAUGGCAAUAUAUUGUAGCUGAGAUGCUCAUUUUCUUUCUCCAACCUUUUAUACCAGUGACUCAUCCCCUCAGGGUCCUGGGUGUUUCUUUCUCCUUAGCCAAGUGAUAUUGUCCACAGCUCUGUCUUUCUCUCUACAUUCAUAUGAUAACACAUACACUUAAUACAUGCAUAUGAUUACGUAUACACUUAAUGAGUUAACACACACACACACACACACACACACACACACACACACACACACACACACACACACACACACACACACACACACACACACACACACACACUUCCAGUCCCAUGUUUCUGAACCAGCGCUCACCAUCGUGCAUGCCAUGGGGACGACCCCAUCCCUGUUCCACUUCCCACCCUGUACUAAGAUUAUUUAACGUGCCAUGAUCGGUCGCUGCGCUGUAGGGUGUUGUCGUUGCGUCUUUCUAUAAUAUUGACCUAAAUGCCACCCAUAUUGAACCUCUCCAAGUCAGUCAUUUCCCACUUUCAAAGGAAUAAAAUAUUCUUACCUCCAUCCUCCCUUCCUUUGUUCCCACACUUAGGAGAGAGCACAGUUUGGAGGUGUGUUGCAGGGCUGUGUUGAUUUGAUGGAAGCCUGUGUGUUGAGGGAGGCCUGUAUUGCAGAAUUGUUUGAGUUUGAAGAGUGAUGUUAGUGGAGAUGUUUGCUGAGUGGAGAUGAUAAAGGCCAGGGCUGAAGUUACGUGGGCCAAUAACAAAGGUGUUGAAAGCCCAUCACCAGCAAGGAGGCUGUCAGUGACCCCAGCACUGGCCUCCAGGAGAACAGAACCUCGUGAUGCAGAGUGAAUGUGUGGGCCUGAGCAGAACACACCUGUAGCUGGUUGCCAGGGCUCCCCCUCCCUCCCCAACAACUCAAUAUUGCCAUUAUCUCUGGACUGGAGAUGCCUUUUAAAGUGAGACAGUUUACAUCAAGCCUCCUUAGGGCUCUGCCCAGGAGACCAGUGAACCCAGCAGCACAAUAUGGUGGCAUAUCCGGUUAUAAAUUAGCAUUUAGGUCACUCAUUGUCUUUUCUAUAAUUGUGUCCUUAGUGGUUUGUAAACAAUAAGAGAAGGCCCCCUCCCCAACAAUCCCAAAAGUUAUUUCUAUCCCAUCAUCAUCUCCAUGUUUGGCCUCUCAACCUGUCCCCUUGAAGUAUCCUACUUGAGUCUCCCUCUGCUGCUUCACACAACUGAAACAAUAGGGAACAACUCGCCUGGCAUUAUUUUCAGUUAGUAAUUAUUUUGUGUAUGUGCAUGUACAUGUAUCACCGGCAAGAGGGUGUGGUACUCCUUGGGGGUGGUGCAUCAAGUGUUGGUGAGUCCUGGGUUAGUUCAUGUUUACUGUUCCAUCAGAGAUAUUGUAAAUGUCCACAAAGUUUUCAGGAACAUACUUAACUCAAACCUUCUUGACUUACAAUAAUGCAGGAAUUUAUUGGCUGUUAUCCAGGACUAACCACUUUCUUGGGUUGUGCAGCAUAAUAUAAUUCAAAUAUAAAAUAUGCAGUUUUGUGGUUGUGAUGGGAAUCUUACCCUUGCUAUGCGUUUUUCACACUUGGCCAUGGGGAGUUGUUCUCUCCUGUACUAUUUCAUCUUGGCUCCACAGCCUCUCUUUUUCCUUUCAUUUCUUUUCAUGCUCCCCUCUCCAUUUGUUCUGUUUUCAACUAUCAGAACUCCCAGCCUGACCCCACCCUCUGUCACCCAAGUUGCGUGAUGUGAUGUGGGAAGAAACAGUUGUGUGUGAUGUUUUGUUACUGUGAAAUUACAAACAAGGAGAAAUCAUAUAUGCAAAUAUUGGCCAGACAUUAGUUAGUAUAAACACCAGAAAACAUGCUCACUCUAUAGGGUUAAAGUAUUGUGUAGGGAUCUGAUUACCUAAUUAUAGACUUUUUUUUAAUCUGCUUGGACUCCUCAAUGGAAGCCAGAAAUUUGAUUGGCUUACAACAGAUGAUGAAAAUGGUGAUGAUUUAUGGCAGAUCCACUACCAACCAGUUGUGCACACAACACAGCAAGACAGCCUGUUCCUUGUGUCAGUCGUAUGGUUGGUAGGCUGGAGCGUAGGGGGCAAAAAAAACAGUAAAAUUGAAAAAAACCUAAUAUUUUUUUAAAUCUGUUUUCUGAUAGGGGAGCAUUCAUUAAUAGUACAUAUGUAUCAUUUAAUAAAUAUGUAAGCCAUU